GCUGCGCCCAGCUUCGGCUUUUGUACGGUCUGCAAGAACGCUUUACGAAAAAUGCCGUCACGUCGGUUAUUUUCUUCGCUUUCACAUCAUACAAGACAGAGAGACUAUGCAAAGACCCGACGUACAGGUCAGUCUACAAGAUGUCUGCCGCAGAUCCUCCCUGUGCGCCGUGAUUCCAGUUCUGUGCCUGAGAAGGAAAUCCGUGGCAACUCUAGAUUGGUAGACCUUACCCCCCACAGGACUUUCAACUUUGACACGCACGCUUUGAUAAAGCAUCUGGAAUCAUCUGGUUUUACCAGUCAGCAAGCGG